rnacentral:rRNA from 1 species
ACUCCUACGGGAGGCAGCAGUGGGGAAUAUUGCACAAUGGGCGUAAGCCUGAUGCAGCAACGCCGCGUGAGGGACGACGGCCUUCGGGUUGUAAACCUCUUUUAGUAGGGAAGAAGCGAAAGUGACGGUACCUGCAGAAAAAGCACCGGCUAACUACGUGCCAGCAGCCGCGGUAAUACGUAGGGUGCAAGCGUUAUCCGGAAUUAUUGGGCGUAAAGAGCUCGUAGGCGGUUUGUCGCGUCUGCUGUGAAAACUGGAGGCUCAACCUCCAGCCUGCAGUGGGUACGGGCAGACUAAGUGCGGUAGGGGAGAUUGGAAUUCCUGGUGUAGCGGUGGAAUGCGCAGAUAUCAGGAGGAACACCGAUGGCGAAGGCAGAUCUCUGGGCCGUAACUGACGCUGAGGAGCGAAAGCAUGGGGAGCGAACAGGAUUAGAUACCCUGGUAGUCCAUGCCGUAAACGUUGGGAACUAGAUGUAGGGUCCAUUCCACGGGUUCUGUGUCGCAGCUAACGCAUUAAGUUCCCCGCCUGGGGAGUACGGCCGCUAGGCUAAAACUCAAAGGAAUUGACGGGGGCCCGCACAAGCGGCGGAGCAUGCGGAUUAAUUCGAUGCAACGCGAAGAACCUUACCAAGGCUUGACAUAUACCGGAAAAGUUCAGAAAUGUUCUCCCCGCAAGGUCGGUAUACAGGUGGUGCAUGGUUGUCGUCAGCUCGUGUCGUGAGAUGUUGGGUUAAGUCCCGCAACGAGCGCAACCCUCGUUCUAUGUUGCCAGCACGUAAUGGUGGGAACUCAUAGGAGACUGCCGGGGUCAACUCGGA